ensembl:lncRNA
GGUCCCUAUACAACCGAAGCAGGAGCUUGGUCCGCAUUGCCGGCAGUAAGUCAGACUUGUUCCCAGUGCAUGUUGGACUCAGGCAGGGCUGCCCUUUGUCACCGGUUCUGUUUGUAAUUUUUAUGGACAGAAUUUCUAGGCGCAGCCAGGGGCCGGAGGGUGUCAGGUUUGGGGACCACCGGGAGGAGACCCUGGGAAAGACCAAGGACACGCUGGAGGGACUAUGUCUCCCAGCUGGCCUGGGAACACCUCGGUGUCCCCCCGGAAGAGCUGGAGGAAGUGUCUGGGGAGAGGGAAGUCUGGGCAUCUCUGAUUAGACUGCUGCCCCGGGGGCCUGGGCAGGGAGCAAUGGGGACAGGAUAGGAGGGAGUUCCAGGAAGGACAGGGGCUGCCGGAACAAUGAGUCGAAAAGUUGAAGCCUGGGGGAAUAGCUGCCUCUGUGCUUCCAGUCUUGGUCGCACUGCCACUGGUGGUGUGAUAACAGUGGUGGACUGUCUCUUUGUCUUUGCCUGCCCUGCAGUGCUCCUGGGCAGGGGAUAAACUAAUGUCUCUCCCUGGUGUUGAGGUGGAGCAACUGCUGGGCGGACAUUGGCUGGGUCCAAAGACUCGGAAGCCACAGGGAGAAGACCAGGCUGGUUAAUCCCCUGCAGUAGCACCGCAAGAUCCUGCCUCUUGACCCUGCCGUUGUGCCACUGGAUGAGCGUGGUCUGGUUCACCUCCACCAGCUGCAGGGUUGUCGCCUGCAUUAUGGCCCCAUUGGCCAGAACCAGCUGCCGUAUUUUGCGGUAGUCCUAAAUGAGAGUCCAUCUUGUCAGUGUCCCCUUCCCCUUCUUUUUGGGACUCCUGUGGAUGGAACAGAGCCUGGAAAAGAUGGCCUCCACAAGACGGCAGCAGUGUGGCCACUGGGCAGGUGAAGCAGUGGAACUGAGGGCACACAGCUUCAGACUGUCCACACCUGGAAUGAACUCUGCCUUCUUUUUAGGAGACCUGAACCUCCCUGUGGCACCUGAGGUGUGACACCUGGUGGACUGGAAGCAGGCUGUGAAGUGGUGGAGGUGGCAGGCUGGGGACCAGAGGGAGCAGGCCGGGGACCAGAGGGAGCAGGCCGGGGACCAGAGGGAGCAGGACUGGAAGCAGAGGGACCAGGACAGCUGGUGGUGGAGAUGGUGGAGAUGUCAUCCCAAAGACUACCAACUGUGAAGUCCAGUGUGAAUUCCUCAAAGCCUUCAUCUUCCUCCUCCUCCUCACCGUCCACGGCCAGGUCCUCCAGCAGCUGGUCAGUCUCCUCUCUGUCGGGGUCCACACUCCGCAAAGGCUGCCCUGUCUGACGGAGCAGAUAGUCCAUGCCUAUCAGCUCUCCUAGAAGUAAGAGAAAUACAAUAAAAUGCAAAUUAC